CCCAGAGGCCCAGCGGGUGGACAAACGGCCCAGGCGUCCGCCCCGCCGCGAUCCAGCAGCCCACCUCGAGCGCCGCGGACCUGGCCGGCCGGGCAGGUGCGUACGCUCAUGAUUUUCAACUCCUGUCUUUAAGCGAUCCUCACGCUUCGGCCUCCCAAAGUGCUGGGGUUACAGACAUGUGCCACUAUGCCCUGCCUAAAUAUGUUUAUAUAUACUACCGCCAAAGAAACAAUUUGAAGACGAUCUUUCCCCAGCCCCUCUCCUUCUGAUCCAACUCCAAGAGCUCACCCUCCCUGUAAGACCUGUAGCAGAGCACGUAUUGGCCUGCUGAUACUAGGGGCAAAGACCGGGCCGAUCAGAUGUUACAUGGCAUAAGGGCGAAGGAUUCUGAAAGAAAGACUGAGACUUGCUGGAGGAAGUACUAGUAGUGCCAAGGGCAGGUAUGUGACCCUCGGAGCUGCAGAGCCAGGAACUCAACUGUUAGGCAGAAGGGAGGAAUGUACUGUUGAUAUGGACAGACUCCAAGAAGGGGAGGGACUGCUGGGACUACUAGAACGAGAAUGCCUCUGCCCCUAUGGCUCAGCUCUGCAACUCUCUCUGCACAUUGGCUUCAUGCUGUUAGACCAGCUUCCUCCAUAUGUCUGGAAACAAGGCCACUGACAGCUCCCAACAUUUCAUCUUCUGCCUCAUCAU
rnacentral:lncRNA from 10 species